AGUAACGCGUGAGGAACCUGCCUCAAAGAGGGGGACAACAGUUGGAAACGACUGCUAAUACCGCAUAAGCCCACGGCUCGGCAUCGAGCAGAGGGAAAGGGAGCAAUCCGCUUUGAGAUGGCCUCGCGUCCGAUUAGCUAGUUGGUGAGGUAAUGGCCCACCAAGGCGACGAUCGGUAGCCGGACUGAGAGGUUGAACGGCCACAUUGGGACUGAGACACGGCCCAG
rnacentral:rRNA from 1 species